UAAUCUAACGGAUGCUAAUGAUUUUAAGAAAUAUAUUUGUUUUUAUUUUAAAUAAUUUAUAUAAAUAAAAAAAAAUAAAAUAAUAGAUGAAGUCAGUAGUUAAUUCUACAGAUAUAGAAAAAACAAAUAUAAAAAUAAAUUUUUAUAGUGGAUAUAUAAUUUUGGAGAAUGUAAAAACAAGAUUAUAAAUUACGCGGCAAUUGGUGCCGUGUGCAAAGCUACGGGUCGUGUGCAAUUUGUAUAAAGCCACAAUUGACGACUGAGAUGCCAGUGGUUCCUGUUACUUUAUCAGAGAACAAACAUUUUAUCGAUUACAGAGUGCGGUUGAUAAUAUAGAAAGUCUAAGAAUAUUCUAGAGUCAGCGGAAAAAAACUAUUUUCAAUUUAAAUUAAAAUUUUAAAUUAUUUUUUGAUCAACAAUGGGCUGGGAUAUGUUCAAACGUAACAAAAAUGAUAAAAAAAAAGAUCAAGAUCAGCAGAAAAAUAAAAAAGAAAGGACCAGGUGCCGAUGUGAAGAGCUGGGAAAAAAAUGUCAAUGUCAAAGCAAUUGCGGCUGCAGAUGUGGAACUAAACGUGUAUAUAUUCGUCCGCCGAUGUUCAAUUACUUCACCGACACGAUGCAUUAACUUGUACAUUUAAGAAUAAAAAGAGAAAGUUUUUUAUAUCGAUGACGAAUACCCGUGGCCAUACGGAUUUCGACAUCGAUUAAAAUGCGCAACUACUGAGUAUUAUAAUUAAAUAUUUUUAUAACUAAGUAUUAUUUCUUUUAUUUAAUUAAAAAAAAAUAUUAUAUGAAUUUGUAAUGAAUAAUUUAUAAAUAAAUAAAUAAAAUUAAAAAAAAAAA